rnacentral:rRNA from 1 species
CCUACGGGAGGCAGCAGUGAGGAAUAUUGGUCAAUGGGCGGGAGCCUGAACCAGCCAAGUCGCGUGAGGGAAGAAGGUUCUGAGAAUGGUAAACUUCUUUUGCCAGGGGACAAAGGCGUCCACGGGUGGCUGUAAGAGUGUACCUGUAGCAUAAGCAUCGGCUAACUCUGUGCCAGCACCCGCGGUAAGACGGAGGCUGCGAGCGUUAUCCGGAUUUGUUGGGUUUAAAGGGUGCGCAGGCGGCGGGUAAAGUCUGCAGUAAAAUGUCGGGGCUCAACCCCGGCCCGCCGUCGAAACUGGCGAGCUUGAGUGGGAGAGAGGUAUGUGGAAUUCGUGGUGUAGCGGUGAAAUGCGUAGAUAUCACGAAGAACCCCGAUUGCGAAGGCAGCAUACCGGCU